UUAAAUUGAAGAGUUUGAUCAUGGCUCAGAUUGAACGCUGGCGGCAGGCCUAACACAUGCAAGUCGAACGGUAACAGGAAGCAGCUUGCUGCUUUGCUGACGAGUGGCGGACGGGUGAGUAAUGUCUGGGAAACUGCCUGAUGGAGGGGGAUAACUACUGGAAACGGUAGCUAAUACCGCAUAACGUCGCAAGACCAAAGAGGGGGACCUUCGGGCCUCUUGCCAUCGGAUGUGCCCAGAU
rnacentral:rRNA from 1 species